rnacentral:rRNA from 1 species
AUACAGAGGGUGCGAGCGUUAAUCGGAAUUACUGGGCGUAAAGCGCGCGUAGGCGGCUUGGUCAGUCGGAUGUGAAAGCCCCGGGCUCAACCUGGGAAUGGCAUUCGAUACUGCCAGGCUAGAGUAUGGGAGAGGGAAGUGGAAUUUCCGGUGUAGCGGUGAAAUGCGUAGAUAUCGGAAGGAACACCAGUGGCGAGGGCGACUUCCUGGCCCAAUACUGACGCUGAGGUGCGAAAGCGUGGGGAGCGAACAGGAUUAGAUACCCUAGUAGUCC